AGCAAUCUAGAAAAACACAAGUCCAAGGCUGCAGUUUGCCAAGCUAAGUGUCUUCUUAAUGCCCAGGCUUUUAAAUGACUUUUUCCUCUGUGGUUGAGUUUUCUGACACCCAACCUUAUCCACACGUUCCUCUAGACUGCUAAAUACAAGUGCUUCCAAUUACACUAUCUCAAAUAUUUCUCUGGGCCUCAGUAUAUUUAAUAUAAUCCGUCUUUAGAGGGUUUAUUUCUGCACAUUUAUUACAGGUAACUUUAUUUCCAUUCUUGCAUGCUGCUUUCUGCUCAAGAGAUACACCUGAGAACCCUGAGUUUGUUUCCAUUUCCAUAGUCCACAUGGACUAUGGCAGUGACCAGCAAAGCAGGUGAUCAGUGGCUCAAAGCACAGAGCAGGAUAGCAGGCUGAACUGCAGGACUAAAACGCAGAAAAAAACCCCUUCAGUGCAAGUACUAAAGGAAAAAAUCGAUAUUUUACAUAUUUGAAGAUUUAUUUCUAUCUUGAAUCUUCUCCAGACUCAACAGCUACAAGUCCUUCAAAACCUUCCCUUGUGAGGUAUGUGAUUACUCUUGUACACCUCCAUACAGCUGUACCACCCUGUCCAUCUCUUUUUCAGCAAUCAGCUUUGGGUAUUUGACAAGAAUUCUGCUGGGAACAUUGAAGAAAAUAAAAGGAGCAAUUCACGUGGCUUACAGAUAACAGUCCUGGUUACAUAUUUGAAGACAGAGUUUAGGCCUCCCACAACACCCUGAUAUUGCUUACUCAUGUUUGGCUCGUGAGCUCCUACAGUUAUGCAUCUCCCACCCUAGGAUUGUGCUACGUAAAAGGCUGGGCUCAAACACUCGGAGUAAAUGGGGUUAUAGCAGGCUGGUGGCCAGUCACCAGUAGGUUCAUGAGAGGGCAAGUCCUCUAACUCAAUUUCCUUUUAUGACACGUUCAGCAAUCUAGUUGACUGAGGGAAGACAGCAGCUGUGGGAGUGGUUUUGAUUUUAGCAAAGCCUUUUCUGCUGUCUCUAACAG